rnacentral:lncRNA from 1 species
GGUGGGUAACUUCCGCCAGACUUUUCUGGAGAUGGCUAAUCCAGCCGUGGGAUGUGGUUUCUUCUAACAGCCAGUCAGGAAAAUCUUGCUUCUCAAACUCCUGUCUUGACCCCUUCCUGAACUUUGCCUCCUGGAUCUUGAGGUCUGCCUUCUGUGGAAGAGAAAUACUAGAAUCAAUGAACUGUGAACUAGAGCCCUGGGAUUAUCAACAGCCAGCUGAAAUUUUGAGAGCCACCUUAUAGAAAGCCUAACAGCAAAGACUGGAGAGAGGCUUCCAGCCAACAGCCAGCAAGGAAUUGAAGCCCUCAGUCCAAUAGCAGUGAGGAAUUGAAUCCUGCCAACAGCCUCGUGGAUGGGUUGCUUGCUGCCUGAAUCUAACUCCUGCUACUACUGCAAAUACCACUGCCAUGAAUAUCCUCAGCAAGACCCCCUUCCAGACCUGCAUGAACAGUUGUGUGAAAUGUAUAUGCACAAAGGGACUGCAAGGGAAGACCCAGAGACUAGGGAAGAACUUGGAACAAUAAUCUCAGUUUCUUCAAUUCCUAAACUUGAGAGUAUUGCUGUUUUUAAAUGAAAGUAUUUUUUCCCCCUAAGCAUUUUGUUCUAAAGUUGAGCUGCCUUUGAGGGGAAAUAAAGAGACUACCAGAUUAAUGGGUUUUUUUCAAAUGGGAUGGUGGGGUAAGGAAUAAUCGGGGUGGUCUGUGGAACAACUUGGAGGAUUGGUGUUAUGUCUCAAGAAGAUAUUCAAGUAUGUUCCUCCUUUUUUACCCAGACCGACUGCUUCAUGCUGGGCUUCAGACAUGAGAGGCUAGGAGUAGGAGGCAUGCCUUGUUCAAAGAUACCCAGUUCUCCCAGGACCAUUUGUUGAAAAGGCAGGCACCUCAUUUUACAGAAGAGGAAACUGAGGCCCAGAAAGAGAAGUGGCAUGCCCAAGGCUGUGCCAGAAGCAAAGUGUAAAAUAGAUCCUGAGCCUCCGACUCCUGGUCUUAAAUGUGGGAAAUAGUCUACAGUUUGGAAGACACCAGAGAAAAAUGCUCCACAGCUCGCCCUGGUGACUCACUACAACUUAUGGGAAGAUGUGAGAUUAUUCUGUAUUCUAAUGUAUGUUAGAAGGCACACUCCACCCAAAGCCUUCCUGUGUGUUCCUCCCUGUGAGCUCACAUCCCGUUCACCAGCUGACUGGGAAGGGAAGUCAGGACCAGCCCUGACCCCAUCACACCAUCAUAACCUCGGGAUGGCAGGGCUGGAAGGCACCUCAGACGUCAUCCUUUGCAGACUCUUCAUUUUACAGUGAGAGGCAUGACGUGUCCACAGCUGGUUAGUGCCAAAGCCUGGGACAGGCUUCACAUUGUCCAGCUCUUAGUCAGAGCACUGUUGACAAUGUCUGCCUUCACUUGGAAUUCAGCACCUGCUUUCAGUAUAAACCCCUGCAUUUCACUAAAACUGAGCAGACUGCUGGUUUAAAAAAGAGAGGUCCAUCCAGCAGGGAUGAUGCUUUUCCUCGUUGAAAGAGGACAUUCACCUAAUGGGAGACCUGGAGUCAGAAUCUUUCUGAUGUGUGACUUGGCACAGUAACACAAUGCAGGAUGCUGGUGUGUUAAUAAAAAUAAAAAUUGCAUCGCCUACCUCAGAGUCGACAACAAUGUCAAGGAGUUAAUAGUCUUGGCAACACAGAGGCCACUGGACAGAGGCAUAACCUUGCGUGGCAGCUGCACGGGAAUUGGAUUUGGCUCAGGUGUUUCAGAUGACUAAGAACAAAGGGGACCACUCUUGGUAUAGAAGUUCAUCUCGUCGGGAGCAUCUGUGGUUCUUUUAUAAGCAAUGUACAUUCUACAAUAGAGGCAGACCCAGAAAUAAUUCAGAUAUUGGAGUUAGAAGAUCAGGAUUCUAAAAAAACCAAAAGAUCCUGCCUUACUAUGCACCUAUGGCCCUUCAAAGGCGAGAGUAGAAUCUGCUAUGAUUUAGAAGCAAGCAAUAAAAAGUACACAUCAGAAUUGGAGCCUGCACAGAUGUAGAAGGAGGCAUGAAGAGGGUAUUGGAGGAUUGCCCACUAUGCAGUCUGCAUCCUGAGUCUGUGGUGAGGCUGGACACGUUCAAGCUUACAGGAGAACUGGAGAAAGCAAGCAACACAGCGGUGGAAGUGAGACCACUGAAGCAGGGACAAGAGUGGAGGAGACAAACUGGACUCGGAACAAACUGGGAGCCUCUGCAUCCAUCCGUAACUGUCUGGCCGUGACAGUGGUUAGAGAGGAGUGGCUUCUGUGAAACUCUCACAAUCUCAAAUCUCCCACAAGUGCCUCUUUCAGCUAACUCUAAACUGGUACCAUAGAGGAAAUGGAUUCUGAAAACUUGGUCUCCAACCUUAGACAAAUUGAAUAAUUAAUAUGUCCUCUCCUGCUUCUUCUGUAACUGAAUUUGCAUUGGGAAGCAGGCCUGUCACUCUCAGACUUUGUGGUUUGAGUAGGGCUCACUUCAGCACCACCUUUUCCUCUUCUCAGCCCCACGGACUGGCAUGAGACUCAGGCCUGGCCAACUGAAUGUCACACACCUAUGACCAUCAGUUGGCUCAGAGAUGGACUCAGGACACCAUCACAGCCAAUGAAACCCUGUUAGGGAAAUUUGUCAGAACCAUACAAAGAAAUAGCUCCACUUUUCCAUAGAGAUGAGACAUAAGCCUGGACUAACUGGUGUCCAAUUUGCCAUCAAGAGAGCAUCUGAGAAGACAGAGGAAAACUGGGGAAAGCGAAGUCUAAGGAAGGUGAGUAAGGACAAGUCCAGUUGAUAUUACAUGAAUCACCUGGACCUGGAAAUCAAGGCAUUGCUGGAUUCAAGGCCAAGAAAAAUUGGAAGCUGGCUUGAAUCAGGUUCUAUCACUUGCAGUUGAAAAGGUCCAGACUAAUAUGAUAACAAAGGAGCAAGUAAGCAAGAUUCUGCCCUACAGUAAGUGCUCAAUGCAUGUCAGCUGGUAUUAUUAUUAUACAGACUUCUAUUUCUAGCCCUUUUAUUUCUACCACCUCUCUUCUGUGUUUUAUGUAAAGUGCAUAAGGAUUGUUCUGUUUGGAAACAUCAAACCAUAUAAAAUGACACCAGCAGGUCCCUUUCUGUCUGUCAGUGUCCACAAGCUCAACAACCAGGAUCAGCAGACAAAAACAGCUAAGCUGGAGUCAGUGUUUUUAUGAAGAAACAGGAAAAGAACUUACUUGGGAACUGUAGCUCAUCCUCCAAUAUUCUCCAUCCUAUCACUCUUUUCAUGACAGUUUCUUCUUGGCCCUGAAGUUGCCUUGUCAUGGCUCCCUGCCUCUGUCCUUUCUCUGUCUCACUUACAUCUUCCAAUGAGGAAUACAGCAAGACCUUUGGAUGAGGACCUCCAAAGGUCCUCAGUAUCCUUAGGACACUCGGUGCAGAACUAGAGGGACUGAGAGGAGGAGCUUUUGCAGGUUAAAUGACUAGUGAAUGGCCUUUCCUUAUAUUUCCAUUAGAAAUGGGAUUAGCUACACCUGAGAAGGAAUGACUUUGGAACAACUGAUCCCUAGCUUUCCAAAAUAUGAGAAAUUGAGAUGCAGGGAGUAGUAAGCACCUAGUUAAUGAGUCAAAGCAUAUUUAUAAAGUUCACAGGGUACAUAGCAUAUAGCAGCUGUUCUCUAUCUCAGUUGAGUUUUGACUAGGAAAUGGGCUUAGGAUAAAACACAUAGGCUUUUGAGUAAUCAUUUGUAAGAAAUUGUAGAUAGUGACCACAGUUUAAUAGCAUUAGAUAAAUUAUGAAAAGUCACUGAAAUACCUUCUCUGGAAAAUGUUAGAAGCUCAAGUACAAUGGCUUAGUUAAAGGCAGGUGGGGGAGAAACUUGAAGAAUGUGGUCCAGUACAAGAAUACCCCAUUUUUCCCCUAAGGCAAUGAAAAUGACAUGAAGUAAUCAUAGUUAUUUAUACAGGAACAAUUUAGGAGACUUAGAAUAUUCACUUCUUUUGCCUUCUAGCUGAGCAUCAAAAUUCUCUCUCUGUCUCUGCCUCUCUCUCUCUAUUUUCCACUUCUAGCUCCAACUAUUUUAAAUCCCUCCCCCAAUAGAACUCAUAACAAACAUAAAACAACAUUUGUUGUAUGUUUACAAUAGAUGUUCAAGCUAAUAUUUAUGUAGGCUUAGCCCUGGCAUUAAAUUAAGGUUUGGUUCACCAACAGGGUGCCUAGAGACUUCACCUCUAUUUCCAUGAGGGACUGAACAGCCUCUUGAGAAGGGACUCAUCAAAAUGGAAGAGUUGGCAAUAAGAAGUUUGGCUAAAUAACCAAGCACUGAAGUUGCAGAGGAGAAAGGAUUUGAAAGGCAGUACAGUGUCCAGGGGCAAGUUGGCAAUUUUUAGCAGGAGGUGAAGUGAUGCCAGCAGAGGUAACAGUGCUCAGAGGGACCAGUAGUCCCCAGGAGGAGCAGGGGAAUCCCCAGUGGAUCUGAUUUGUUCAAGAGCACAUGUGAGAUUAUCAGCUGGCGUUACAAUUUUGGAGUGGCAGUGAGAAGCAGUGAAUUUGAGGUCACUCAAUUUGCAGACCCCAAAGGGUGAAAUGUUGAGAAACAUGAGUUACACAUGUAUUUAACAGCUCUUGUGUAUUAUCACAAAUCCUAUUUCACCUCUCAUGCCCCCGAGGCUUUGGUGUCCAGUUCUCUGAAGACUUCAUCAAUCCUCAGCCAUAAAUCACCUGAGAGCAACUCACCUUGCUUCAUACUAUGAAGCUCCCUGAUGUCACAGCAUGGCAGGCCUGUGGCAACCCCUCAACACUUAUGCAUGAUCCCAAACAGCUAGAGGAUUAACACCUACGGUGUAACCCUUGACCAGCAGGAAAUGGAAAUUACUGUCUUUUUGUCCCCGCAGGUGAAUGGUUCUAAAAUGCAUUUUAUAAGCCUUCUGAAAUAGUCCCACAGGUCAAGCACCUACUUGCUCCAGUGGUGACCAACUCAAUGAUGCAUCCUUGGGUUGACUCUCCCUCCUUUCCAGUUCACUUUCCCCGCCCCUCACUCCUGCACCUCAGCAUCACAUUCCUGAAUAAACCACUCACACAUCUGUCUUAUUUCAGACUCUGUUUGGGGGAAUCCACAAUAAAAAUUUGUCAUUUUGAGUUAAACAUUGCUCUCACCUUGAAGACAUAUUUCCAUACCUAGAGAUUUCUGAAGUUCUCUCCCUUUUCCUAUCAUCUCCUUUGUGCUUUGUCUGACCUCCAUGUUACAGAGCCCCAUGAUAUUUAGAGCCAGUACUGCUAGGGAAGUAGUUCAGUUGUGUUUUAAAUGGUUCAGCAACUUGUAACAUCAACUGAGAACCAGAGGAAUACACUUGGAGGCCAAGAAAAAAAUGUUAGCUAAUAUGUACCAUACAGUAUGAUUCCUUGGGUAAGGGAAAGUAUAUGCAAGUGACAGAGGAAAAUUGAAAGUUGUAGCCCUUUUUUGGACUUUAGAUUUGGAAUUAAAGUUUCUCUUCUCUUGAAAGACCUUCUUUUUGUGGAUAAUGAUGAAUCUGAAGACCAGAACAGUGGGCCAAUUUGCCUUAGUUGAGAGUGGCAAAUAAAUGAAGAACUGAAGAACGUAUCUCUUUAACUAGUGCUCCUUUGUUGAGAAGAUACAAAACAAACAAUUGAAGGGUAUGGAUGAAGCCAUUGGCUUAUUCAUGUCUCUGUUGAUCAUAAUGAGAUUAAUAUAUAUAGGACAUUCACACAAAGAGGAUAUUGACUCGAUGGCUUACAGAUUAUUAGAGUUAGAAAUGUGACCUACUACUAAAGGAAGAAUGUUUCAGGUGUGGAUCUCUGAUUUAAAAAAUACACCACACUUGCCUCAGUGAAGCAAGUCAACUUAGGUGCUGAUACAAUGCCACUGCAGCUGUGCUGAGUUCAUGAAAUCAGAUCCCACUCUCUUCACCUACCCCUACCGUAUUCAUCCUACUUUCCGUCUGCUCUGCCCUUCCCAUUUGGUAACCUAGUCAUGAAACACCUGGCUCUGGGUCCUUCCUUCAGCAUCACUCCACGUUGUACUGCUGGCAUCGCUUUUCUUGGCACAGAACCUCUUAGGGCUGCUAUCCUAGGAGUAGGUGCUACUCAGGCUGGCUUAGUCCCAGGCUUCACUCACUUCUUGGCCCAUGGCCAGGAGGACCGGAAAGAACAAACUCUCUGCACAUCUCUGCAGGUGGCCACAGAGCCCCCAUCUGAGCCUUGCUGAUGGAGAAGAGCAUGCUGCAUCACAAGAUAACUGUGUGGCUCUGUUCAAAAACCUUGUUUAGAAGUUAUUAUUUCUUUUAUUGCAUUAGAAUUUGCCUCACUGUAGCUUUUGUGCUUCUGUCCUGGUUCAGCCUUAGAUAGCAGUGCAGCCUGGUCCAUGUGAAAGCUCUUGCAAUAGGCCUUUCUGCUAGUCAGGAGUUCUCAGACCCAUCCCUACUCUUCACUUUUCUCAAGACUAAUAUCAGACUCCUGGGCUCUUCAAGGUUUCCUCAUAUGAUAAAAGUUCUAAGCCCUCCAUUGUCCUAGUCACUGUCCUCUCUGUUCCAUCCCUGUCUGCCCUUCCAAGAUGCUGCACCUGGAGAUGAAUUUGUCCUUCCUGGGGCAAGUCACCAUGAGAUGAUUACUUUUGGAUCAUACUGAAUUUGUGGGUUAAAUAAACUCAUAGGUCUUUAUCUCAUGCACUAAAUCCAAAUUCGAUCUCUUGCCGUAAAUCAUUUUUUUGAAUAGCUGAACAAUAAGUAAAUAAUACACAAAUGAAAACUAAUCAAUAUUUGAACAUCCUCAGUAUUUUCAGCCCUAGUUUGAGCCAGACAUAGCUCAUCUUGUAUACUUCACUAAGGACACUUUAUACGAUCAAGCAAUUAAUAUUAUGAUGUCAUGUCUCGCAAGCCCCAUAGUGUCACUUCCAGUCUCUUCACCACAAAGAACGUUGAAGCCUUCGUAUUUUUUUGAAAAUCAUAUUUCUAGCUGCAGGAUGGGAUGUAAGAAAAGUUCAGAUUAGGAUUAUUCUAGGCUCCUGACUAUAACUAAAAUCCUGAUUUUUUAUGGAAAGGAAUGAGGAUCAUUCCUUCAAAUUAGAUUUUUGUGAUAAAAAGAAAAAAGUUGGUAAUCUAUUCAAAAUUGUAACAAAAAUAACUGCAUUUUUCUUUGGAAAAUAAUAGUUGAUUCCUUUUUGCUUUUUUUACUUAUGAAUUGGGGUGCAAUAGAGUUUAAUAAAAAUGAUGUGAAACACUCUUAUAAGGCUAAUUUAUCACAUUUGCUUCAAGGAAUUGUCCUUUCUAACAAAAUUGUGAAAUGGAACUGAACAGUAGCAUGAUGAGGCCUCUACCAGGAGGAGGUACAGAACAAGGCAGGAGGUCAGUGGUUAAAGGACUCCUUGCUUAUGCUCAAGAAAUGUGGACCUUAUUAGAGGUGACACAGUGAAAUCAGUCACCUGAUUUCGCAGGUGACUGUGGAGCAAGAAUGCAAAUCCACAAUAUUAGGAUGAAUGUGAGAGGAGAAGGGAAGGAGGCCAUGAGGGAAAAAAGGACAUCUAAUUGGGUCUGAAAGGAAGGGUAGAAUUUAAGUAAAGAGCACUGUGUACAUAUGGGAAUACCAUGUACUUUCUCAUGGAGAGAGGCCUUCUGACAGUCCUGCAUUGAUCCUGCUUCUUUGACCAUCCCUUGUUAGCCAGCAGGUCAUUUGGCCUCACUAGUUGCCUCAGUGCUGAGUGAUAGACUCAGCAGUCCCCAGCCUCUUUGGCACCAGGGACUGGUUUUGUGGAAGAUAAUUUUUCCAUGGAUCAGGGAGAGGAUGGUUUCAGGAGGAUUUAAGU